rnacentral:tmRNA from 1 species
GGGGGCGAUACGGCUUCGACGGGGGUGAUGGGGUCGCGGGAGGCAUGCCGAGCACCAUCGACUCGAUAAUCCGAUGGAAAACCCAGUAACUGCGGACACGCAGCUUGCUCUCGCUGCCUAAUUAGGCGGUGCGUCCACCUCGUUCUCGCCCACGGGGCGGGGCUGGGCGUCAUUCAGUGGGCUGGUCACCGCGCGCCGCACCGACACGCGAUGACGAGACGAAUCGGGGCUGGCUUCCAGGCGGUUUCCGCCGUUCUUCGACGCCCGGAAGCGAGACUUUCAAGAGCGGCUACGCAUGUAGAAUCCUGCUGCGCCGUACUCUCGGACGCGGGUUCGACUCCCGCCGCCUCCACCA